rnacentral:tRNA from 1 species
GCCCCCAUCGUCUAGAGGCCCAGGACGUGGCCCUCUCAAGGCCAAAACAGGGGUUCGAAUCCCCUUGGGGGCACCA